AUGGCUGAAGCUCUAGCAAUCAAAUUUGGCCUAACACUGGCACAAAGGGCGGGGUGUAAUCGCAUAAUCAUCAACUCAGACAAUCUGAAAGUAAUUGAGACCAUGCAGAAUGGAGGACAAUCAGCGGGUGCGGUGUUUUGAGGACCGCUUUCACUAUGCCUGUGAUUUUUCAUAACUAGAUUCGAACACUGUAAUAGAGAGGCAAAUAAAGUAGCUCAUGAACUUGCCAGAUUAGCUAGAUUUUCUUUGACUUUAGACUGGUUUGAGGAGCCCCUAAAUGAAAUUGUACUGAUCCUUGAAUAA
rnacentral:rRNA from 1 species